GGUCCCGUAGUGUAGCGGUUAUCCCGUCGCCCUGUCACGGCGAAGAUCGCGGGUUCGAUUCCCGUCGGGACCG
rnacentral:tRNA from 1 species